rnacentral:tRNA from 1 species
CCACCAGUGGUGUAAGGCAUAGCAUCGCUGCCCGGAAAGCAGAAGGCGCGGGUUCGAGUCCCGCCUGGCGCG